GCAUGUGAGCAGCGGGACAGGUCAUGUGUAGAUCAGCGCUGGCUGCUAAAUCUCACAGCAGUAAAUCCUUUAGGCUGACAUGUCUUACUGACGACAACUUUCAGGAAAUACAAACAGGUGGACGAGCACAAUGGCCGGCGGACUGCCGUCAGACGGCACCAUGGAUGACAACAAGAUGAACCAGUCCAACGUUAAAGUGGCAGUCCGUGUGCGACCCAUGAACAGAAGAGAAAAAGAUCUGAAGGCAAAGUGUGUGGUAGAAAUGGACGCCAGUCAGACAAUCCUGAAUCCUGCCAUGACAACGCUGAGCAAAGGAGACCCUCGGUAAGUUCCUCAUUCAUUCCUACUA